rnacentral:misc_RNA from 1 species
UUUCAAGCAGAGAAAUAUUCAUCCAACGAAAAUGUCAAAUAGUUCAUUUGAAGAGGGUAAACUUAUGGCUGUCAUAGGCGAUGAGGACACCUGCGUUGGCUUUCUGCUUGGCGGCAUUGGCGAAGUCAACGAGGAGCGUCAGUCGAACUUUAUGGUUGUCGAGAAAGACACCAGCGCCGCGGCCAUAGACGAGUGCUUCAAGCGCUUCGUGGCACGCGAGGAUAUCGCCAUCAUAAUGAUCAAUCAGAUAUAUGCGGACAUGAUACGCGCCACCAUCGACAAGCACCUGCUGCCUGUGCCCACUGUGCUGGAGAUACCCUCGAAGCAGCAGCCGUACGACGUUAACAAGGACUCCAUACUGAAGCGUGCGCAUCGAAACUUAAGAGGAACCAAAUCGUAUAGGCAAAAUAUUAAAAUUCAUUUAUUCUUUGAAAAAAGAGCUCUUUCCUCAAAAUUAUCCACGGAAGAUCACAGCGACAGCGAGCUGGUGAACAUAUUCAAGUUCCUGCAGCGGGCCGUCGAGACCUUUGGCCGCAAUCAUGGCCUGCAGCUGGCGCUGCCCAAGGAGACGGGCGCCCGGGUGCUGGACGAGGCGGGCAUUCGGACAAAUUCUUAUACACAAUUUUUGGUCGAAAGGAAUUAGGGCGAUAUGUAUAAAUGAAUAUUCUCGGAUUAAUUUAGCAACAUAUGUUGGUGCUUAUAUUAUUAAAUGCAUAAUCCAUCCAGUUGAACUAAAAUAUUGUGUGACAAGGAUUAAGGAAAAAAGGCAUAAGGACUCUGCUGCAGCAUCAACAACAACAACAACAACAGCAACAACAACUUCAUAUAAGUAAAGUCCCAUGAGUGCAUUUCAUGCUGCACGUUGAAUGAAUGAACAGCAAGUGCUAUAACUACAGAGACAGUUACAGAUACUUAGUUAUAGCUACUAACAAGGGAAAACAAGAGAACAAUAAGUGCGACACAUAGCUGGAGGCAAAGGGGCCACAUAAUCAGGGUCGAGACAUGAUAAUCGCCAUGAAUCGCACUGAAUUUGGAACAUUGCCGCAAUUCGAAAGCUCAGCGGAGAUAUUUAAAGCGAUUGCGAGAAACAGCAAUUUUGAUCUGAUUGGGGAACGCCGGCACUUGGCAAAUUUUCCCUCGCUACACACAGGCGAUGUCAGCAGCAGCAGCAGCAGCAGCAUCAGCAACAGCAUCAGCAACAACAUCAACAACAGCAGCAA